rnacentral:tRNA from 1 species
AAAGUUUGUAGGAUCGAAGCCUUCCUGUCUAG